rnacentral:rRNA from 1 species
GACGAACGCUGGCGGCGUGCCUAAUACAUGCAAGUAGAACGCUGAAGGAGGAGCUUGCUUCUCUGGAUGAGUUGCGAACGGGUGAGUAACGCAUAGGUAACCUGCCUGGUAGCGGGGGAUAACUAUUGGAAACGAUAGCUAAUACCGCAUAAUAGUAGAUGUUGCAUGACAUUUGCUUAAAAGGUGCAAUUGCAUCACUACCAGAUGGACCUGCGUUGUAUUAGCUAGUUGGUGAGGUAACGGCUCACCAAGGCAACGAUACAUAGCCGACCUGAGAGGGUGAUCGGCCACACUGGGACUGAGACACGGCCCAGACUCCUACGGGAGGCAGCAGUAGGGAAUCUUCGGCAAUGGACGGAAGUCUGACCGAGCAACGCCGCGUGAGUGAAGAAGGUUUUCGGAUCGUAAAGCUCUGUUGUAAGAGAAGAACGAGUGUGAGAGUGGAAAGUUCACACUGUGACGGUAUCUUACCAGAAAGGGACGGCUAACUACGUG